rnacentral:rRNA from 1 species
GACGAACGCUGGCGGCGUGCUUAACACAUGCAAGUCGAACGGAAAGGCCCUGCUUUUGUGUGGUGCCCGAGUGGCGAACGGGUGAGUAACAAGUGCGUAACCUGCCCUUGCCUUUGGGAUAACCACAGGUUACUGGGGCUUAUAACGCCUACGAGCUCCUGCUUCUCGGUGUGGGUUGGAAAGUUACGGCGGCUGAGGAAGGUCUCGCGGCAUAUCAGCUUGUUGGUGAGGCAGUGUCUUACGAAGGCUUUGUCGGAUAGCCAGCCUGAGAGGGUGACCGGCCACAGUGGGACUGAGGUACGGCCCAGACUGCUACGGGAGGCAUGAGUGGAAAAUAGUGCACAAUAGGCGGAAGCAUGAAGCAGGGACGCCGGGUGCGAGAUGACGGCCUUUCGGUUGUAAACCGCUUUCGCCGGAGACGAAGAGUGAUUGACGGUAAUGGGUAAGAAAGCACCGGCUAACUACGUG